UACAGAGGUGGCAAGCGUUGUUCGGAAUUACUGGGCGUAAAGGGCGUGUAGGCGGUCUUCUAAGUCAGACGUGAAAUCCCCCGGCUUAACCUGGGAACUGCGUCUGAUACUGGGAGGCUUGAGUAUGGGAGAGGGAUGUAGAAUUCCAGGUGUAGCGGUGAAAUGCGUAGAUAUCUGGAGGAAUACCGGUGGCGAAGGCGGCAUCCUGGACCAUUACUGACGCUUAAGCGCGAAAGCUAGGGGAGCGAACCGG
rnacentral:rRNA from 1 species